rnacentral:snRNA from 1 species
UCGAAUCCCGGUUUGGACC